UGUAGAGUUUGAUCCUGGCUCAGAUUGAACGCUGGCGGCAUGCUUUACACAUGCAAGUCGGACGGCAGCACAGAGAAGCUUGCUUCUUGGGUGGCGAGUGGCGAACGGGUGAGUAAUAUAUCGGAACGUACCGAGCAGUGGGGGAUAACUAAUCGAAAGAUUAGCUAAUACCGCAUAUUUUCUGAGGAAGAAAGCAGGGGACCAUUUGGCCUUGCGCUGUUUGAGCGGCCGAUAUCUGAUUAGCUAGUUGGUGGGGUAAUGGCUUACCAAGGCGACGAUCUGUAGCUGGUCUGAGAGGACGACCAGCCACACUGGGACUGAGACACGGCCCAGACUCCUAC
rnacentral:rRNA from 13 species